AAAUGCUUGGUAAAUCAUAUUUUACGCGUACAAGCGCCACUGGGGUGUCUAAAAUCAGUACUGUCCGGUCCUGGACACGGAGGUCGGAAAUGACUGACAAGCACCAAGGAGCUGAACUUGUUACAAAAUGCCUCCAAAUAGAGUGCAGCCGAAACCUCCGCCGUCACGUGACCCUAAUGGACUUAACAAACACAUAACCAUUCAAUUCUAUGACGUCCUAGCUGAACAGAAAUCGCCAGAGAGCCUCGACAUCAUCUGGGACUGUUCUGAGAUUUGCUACUCCUGUUGGUCGGGACUUUGCUAUGGUUUGCUCACCGUUUUUACAGGACCCUGUAUCGCCAGCGUCUGGGCAUGUCAGUUCGCCUACACAGCCUUUGCGCAUGUCUGGUGCCUGGGUCCCAUCUUCCUCAACGUGAAGUUCUGUAUGGUGGACUGUUUUCAGCGAGGAAUUCGUAAUGUGUUAAACUGUUGUAUUGUACCAUGGACAAAUGCGUGCGGAGCCUUUUUUCAUCUGUGUCCGGUAAAACGAAAACCAAAGCCACAACCGGAAGUAAAGAAACCUCCGUCACCGGAAAUACUGUUGAUCAUUCCUCCAAAACGAGACGUUUCUAAAACCAUUCAGAGACAACUGGGUCUAUUUUUGCGAUAAAUCGACAUGGCGCGAGGUUUUAAAGUGAUUGUGCGUGGAUUAUUUCAAAUACACGGAAUUUGUUUUCUAAAAAAGAUUAUUUUUCCUGAAUAGAUUAACAACCAAAUUUCUCGUAGUUAUGAAUUUUGAUAAACUCUGUGUGUGGCGCUUUUGUCAACAUCACAUGUUCCAAGUGUGAUAAUGAGACCACUUAUUUGAAAAACACGAUAAUUCUUCAUGCUGUGAGACAUAUAUCAAAAGUGCUAUUUUUCUAAGAAUGAUUUUCUUUUUAUUGCCGACCAAUCAGAACCGAGAUUUAUAUUUACUGCAUUUGUACUGAAACAUUUUCUUUUCUGAACUUCAUUCAGAUGUAGAUGAAACGAUGUUAUGAUUAUUGAUUUUUUAAACAAAAUUACUCAAGAGUUAAAAAUUAUAUGAGUGAGACGGGGAGUGGUAUCCUAUGAUUAGAUUAUGGCGCCAUUAUGAAAAAAAAUAUUAAUAUCGCAUUUUUACUUUUGAAUUACAUUAUUCUUUCCUGCAAAUGCUUGAAGAGCCACAAAUUCUUUGAAAAUAUUAAAGAUGCUUUACUGAUCCAUGUAGUUUUAUUUUAAACGUUUUGAUUGGUCAAUGGUAUACGGCAAUUUGUGCUAUGCAUCUUGGUGUUUUCCUGUAAAUUUAAGUAAACAUAGUUUGCUUUUAAUCGAAAAUAUAAGUUUAUCUCAGCCUCAUUACAUUUGAUAAACCAAUCUAAGUAGACCUUAAAGCAAGACUUGUCCUUGUCGACUGAAGAUUCAGUUGAAGUGAAUUGGUGUCAAUAUAUAAGUGUUUAUACUGUAAUUUACAUAUUUAAGCGGUUAUCUUAUUUUGGCGUUUAAUUUUGGUUGCGCUAAUUGGCGUUUACUGUGUGCUGCGAGCAUUAUUUUAGAGCUUUUCGUGUAGAAAGUCUUGCGCUAAAUAUUCGUUGCGCUAAUUGGCGUUUACUGUGAACUGCGAGCAUUAUUUGAGCAGUUAUUCAUAAUUGCGCUUACCUGUUAAAAUUUAAGUAUCGCGCUAAAAUUCGAGUUCGCCAAAAUAAGUCCGCUUUCAGUAUACAUAUGUUUAAAUUUAACUUUUGUAAAUAUUUUUUUAUUUGUUGGCUCUUUAUUUUCGUGUACAGUUGGAUUUUGAAUUAUGAAAUGAAUUAUUAUACAUUUGGACCUGCACAUACAUGUAUGUAUGUGUUAAUAUUUAUUUAUUGUUGAGAAGGUAGUUAGUUACUUGGUCACAGAUUAACCGCCUACAUAACUCUUCUUCUGUUGAGGAGAAGAAUAGAAACAGAAAUAAACGAUAACAAUAU